rnacentral:rRNA from 1 species
UGGGGAAUAUUGCACAAUGGGCGCAAGCCUGAUGCAGCCAUGCCGCGUGUGUGAAGAAGGCCUUCGGGUUGUAAAGCACUUUCAGCGGGGAGGAAGGCGGUGAGGUUAAUAACCUCAUCGAUUGACGUUACCCGCAGAAGAAGCACCGGCUAACUCCGUGCCAGCAGCCGCGGUAAUACGGAGGGUGCAAGCGUUAAUCGGAAUUACUGGGCGUAAAGCGCACGCAGGCGGUCUGUCAAGUCGGAUGUGAAAUCCCCGGGCUCAACCUGGGAACUGCAUUCGAAACUGGCAGGCUAGAGUCUUGUAGAGGGGGGUAGAAUUCCAGGUGUAGCGGUGAAAUGCGUAGAGAUCUGAGGAAUACCGGUGGCGAAGGCGGCCCCCUGGACAAAGACUGACGCUCAGGUGCGAAAGCGUGGGGAGCAAACAGG